CGGAGGACGCGGAGGAGGGGGCUCCCCCGGGGGGCGGCCGCCGUCGUCCGGGCGCAGCGGAGCGGGGAGGCGGCGGCUCGGGCCCCCCUCCGCGCCCCAGACAUCCUGUGUUUGUUGCUGGCAUCCGUGAAAUGGUGAGAGGACCCAGACCCUUCACAGAUCCUGAAACUACUGGUCUACCUACGAGAAUCAUGAUGCUGUUGGCCUAAUCUUCACCUCCCUAUGCUUGUCCUUCUGUGAAAAGAAGAUAAGAGAGGGGAUGAGUCAAGUAACAUAAUAAACGUCUGAGAAGCUCUAGGUGCAAAGAGGUCUAGAAACCAUCGUAAGCUUCCAGUCUCUGCCUGUGAAAGACACCAUAAGAGGAGGGUGGAAUGGACAUUAAGUGAGCCAACCUGCAGUACUUACCACGGGCAAUACUGGGAGAAAUACAGACACAGAUACAGAAAUACAUGUAAGAAAUACACAAAGAGAAUGGAUGAAGAUGUUUAAAACUGACUCUGUCCAGGAAAACCUACUCAUAUGUAAUUAUUUAUUUUAACUCCAAACUCCUAACAUUGAAAUCUUUAUGGCUAUUGGGGCACCUGGGUAGUUCAGUCCAUUAAGCAUCUACCUUCAGCUCAGGUCAUGAUCCCAGGGUCCUGGGAUCGAGUCCCUGCAUCUGGCUCCCUGCUCAGUGGGGAGUCUGCUUCU